rnacentral:rRNA from 1 species
UACGAAGGGGGCGAGCGUUGUUCGGAUUUACUGGGCGUAAAGGGCGCGCAGGCGGCUUUGUUUGUCAGGCGUGAAAGCCCCGGGCUUAACCUGGGAACUGCGUUUGAUACGGCAGGGCUAGAGUUCGGGAGAGGAGCGUGGAAUUCCCAGUGUAGAGGUGAAAUUCGUAGAUAUUCGCAAGAACACCAGUGGCGAAGGCGGCUCACUGGCCCGAUACUGACGCUGAGGCACGAAAGCGUGGGGAGCAAACAGG